UGGGUAACCUGCCUCAAAGAGGGGAAUAGCCUCCCGAAAGGGAGAUUGAUACCGCAUAAUAUGUUUAGGUCGCGUGACUUUAACAUCAAAGGAUUUUCUUUUAGAACUUCCACUUUGAGAUGGACCCGCGGCGCAUUAGCUAGUUGGUGAGGUAACAGCUCACCAAGGCAACGAUGCAUAGCCGACCUGAGAGGGUGAUCGGCCACAUUGGAACUGAGACACGGUCCAGAUCCGUACGGG
rnacentral:rRNA from 1 species